rnacentral:rRNA from 1 species
AACGAACGCUGGCGGCAGGCUUAACACAUGCAAGUCGAACGCCCCGCAAGGGGAGAGGCAGACGGGUGAGUAACGCGUGGGAACAUACCCUUUCCUGCGGAAUAGCUCUGGGAAACUGGAAUUAAUACCGCAUACGCCCUACGGGGGAAAGAUGUUAUCGGGGAAGGAUUGGCCCGCGUUGGAUUAGCUAGUUGGUGGGGUAAAGGCCUACCAAGGCGACGAUCCAUAGCUGGUCUGAGAGGAUGAUCAGCCACAUUGGGACUGAGACACGGCCCAAACUCCUACGGGAGGCAGCAGUGGGGAAUAUUGGACAAUGGGCGCAAGCCUGAUCCAGCCAUGCCGCGUGAGUGAUGAAGGCCUUAGGGUUGUAAAGCUCUUUCACCGAUGAAGAUAAUGACGGUAGUCGGAGAAGAAGCCCCGGCUAACUUCGUGCCAGCCGCCGCCGUAAGAC